GCCUAGUCCAGAUCCUGGCCAGAACCAACCCUCCCCCAGCACAGAGACUGCCCAGCCAGGUGCUGCCAGAGAUCAUGCUUGGACGCAACUGUCAGGUCCCAGAUCUGCUCUGGAGCACACAGAACGCUGUGGGGAUGGGCUGGUACUCAGACACCCAGCAGGUAGCUUGCUAGGCUCUGUGGCAAGGGACCACUCUUGCCUGACCCUGGGAUUUCACAGUAUCCCAGGUGCAUCCGGGGGAAUCAAAGAAACAGAUCAUGCUCACGUCGGGGAGGGCUCAUCUGGAGAGGUGGUUCGGAUGCGUGUUAGGUUUGGGAGCCAGCCGUUUGAUCCCCUUCCUGCCCAGAUGCCAGGUCCCUCUCAUUCCUGUCCUGGACAAGUUCACCGGCCAAGGGAACCCCAGGAGGACAUGCUGACCUGACCCAAAGAGAAUAAAAUCAAGACAAAAAGACGAGGCCACCCUGGAUCUCAGUUUAGAAAGGGCGGCAGCCAGAGGCCUUAAGUGCAGCUGCCCCUCCGGCUGUGGGCGAGGGUCUGAGAACGGAAGAGAGGCGCCUGGACGUCACUGCAGGCACGGGGGAGACAGUGUGCCAGCUACCACUCUCCCAUCUCCGUCUCGGGGAGAGAUCGAACGUGCGCGGC